rnacentral:pre_miRNA from 10 species
GUGUAGUAGAGCUAGGAGGAGAGGGUCCUGGAGAAGCGUGGACCGGUCCGGGUGGGUUCCGGCAGGUUCUCACCCUCUCUAGGCCCCAUUCUCCUCUG